GACGAACGCUGGCGGCGUGCUUAACACAUGCAAGUCGUACGGUAAGGCCCUUUCGGUGGUACACGCUUGGCGGACGGGCGAGUAACACGUGCGUAACCUGCCCACAACUUUGGGAUUACGCCAGGACACUGCUGCUUAUACAGGAUAUGUGCCCCUGCUGCAUGGGCGGGGUCGGAAAGCAACGGCGGAUGUGGAUGGACCCGCGGCCGAUACGGCAGUUGGUGGGGUGGUUGCCUACCAAGGCGGCGACGGGUAGCCGGCCUGAGUGGGUGACCGUCCACAUUGGGACCGAGGGACCGGCCAGGCCCCUACGGGAGGCAGGAGCUGGGAAAAUUGCACCAAGGGCGGGAGCCUGAGGCAGCAACGCCCCGGGCGGGAAGACGGCCUUCGGGUUGGAAACCGCUUUCAGCAGGGACUAAGCUUUUUGUGACGGUACCUGCAGAAGAAGCACCGGCUAACUACGUG
rnacentral:rRNA from 1 species